UUUUCUGCCCUCCGUCCUGCCCCGUCCAUGAUGCUCUGCGGCCUCUGGAAGGGGGUGCCGUCGGCCCAGGGUUCCUGGUUUUAUGUUGCCAUGUGACUUUCUUCCUUUCCUUCUUAAGGAUGACAGGUGUUGAACAAAUAUUUAUUGAGUUCCUUCUAGUGCCAGACACACUGAGGAACAAGCACUGUGCCAAUUAGACGCUUGGCGACAAACAGUAGAAACAAAUUCUGAAUAACCUAAGCAAAAAAAAAAAAAAAGAAAAGAAAAAGCGGUGUUAAGCAGCUCGUAGAGGAGACUAGAGGUGGGAAAGGGGGUGGGGACGGAGGCAGAGCAUGUGUGGGCAAAGUCACGAAGGGGGAGAGUGACCGAGGGCCACCACGGCCACCACAGCUCCUCCAGCCUGCUGGUGCCCCACUGCGUCCGGCUGCCACUCAUUCUGCGCCACCAGGUCAGGAAUCCUAGUUCAAGCAAAACCUCCUGACUGGGCAAGGGCAGGGCUCGGCCCCCUGAAAGCUGCCAGGACCUGGGAUUUGGGUAGAAGCGGGCCAGAGCUUCAGCAGAGCAGGCGUCUUCUGGACGAGGAGCCAGGCUCUCCGCCCGCCACCCUUGAUUGGAGAAAAGAGGUGAGAUUUCUCAUACUGACGAAAAAAUGUGUUUUCUAAUGGUAUCUUUUAAUUUCCAUUCGGUAAUAAUUUCUGCCUGUCUACUAUGUUCCAAGCUUUUUAAGUACUUUGUUUUCCCGGGCUAAAGGUCAGAUCCAACCUGCAGCUGUGGGUCUACACCACAGCCACCGCAACGUGGGAUGUGAGCUGCGUCUGGGAUUUCCACCCAGCUCAUGGAACUCCUUGCUAGGUCCUUUGAAUUCAGACAUUCAAAAUGGUGAGUAUAGUCAGCACUUACAAAUUCUUUAGUGUUGGGCUUCCCCUGUGGCUCAUCGGAAACCAAUCCGUCUAGCAUCCAUGAGGUUGUGGGUUCCAUCCCUGGCCUCGCUCAGUGGGUGAAUGAUCUGGCAUUGCUGUGAGCUGUGGUGUAAGUUGCAGAUGUGGCUCAGAUCUGGCAUUGCUGCGGCUGUGGUGUAGGCUGGCAGCUGUAGCUCUGAUUCGACCCCUAGCCUGGGAACUUCCAUAUGCUGCAGGUGCCGUCCUAAAAAGCAUAAAAAAAAAAAAAAAAGAAAAGAAAAGAAAGAAAAAGAUUCUUAUUGUGUGCAAAAUAAUGUUUUGCAUCAUGCAAAUGAAACUAUCUGGAUGAUGUAAGAGAACAGUGUCUUGUUUCCUGCCUGCAGAGAGAAUAUAGUGUAUUUCUGGGAGAAAAAGCAGGCACUAAGCGGGACUCAAGGAUCACACGGAAAUCAUUGAACAGAAACACCGUUGCUGAGAACGAUAGUCUUUA
rnacentral:lncRNA from 1 species